ACGUCGUGUCAUUGUUACACACUUGUUAUUAAUAAUAUUAUCUCUUAAACAAAAAGGUUUAUGUAUUUUUUCUGGUGUUUUUUUGUUCUAUUUGCGAAAUUAAAAUACCAUAAUUAAUUUUUUUAUAAUUAUCAUUAUUAAGUAUAUAAAUAUUAUUUUUUUAGUGAAUAAUAUCCUGAACAUAUAACUAUUUUUUUUAUUAGAAUAAACUAAAAUAGUGUAUUUCUUUUUUUUAUUAUUAUUACUGUAACUGAUGUUAGUAUUAGUAUUACCAUAAAAAAAAGUAAAAACAACUUUAUCCCGUUUUACCUUUUUAAACACCUUUUUUUAAUACUCUUUCUUAUUUCCUUUGUUGCAUAUCUACUUAAACAUCCAACGUUAAUUUCAUUCAUUUUUACACCACCCAUCUCAUAAUUUAAAACUGAUUUAUUUAUAUAAUCUUUAAAUAUUUGGCUAGUUGAUAUUUUUUUAUCAAAAUUUUUUUUUUUUUGACAAAUAACUAUUAUUACUACCUGACAAUGUCAUACUAUUAACUUCUUCAACAUCUUGUUUUAAAACUGUGCUCAUAAAUAAUUCGUUUACAUUAUUUUUUUUUAUAUCUUUUUUUUUAUAUUUUUUUUUGUACUACUAGGAAUAAUAGUAAUUACAUUAAAUGGUGGAUUACUCUUUUGUUGAUUCAUUUCUUUCAAAUCAUUUAUAACUAUUACACCGGUAUAAUUUCCAUUUUUUAUACAAUUUUUUGUUUUUCCGUUUAUUCCUUUAUUAUUUUUUUUUUAAUUCACUUGUACUGUUGCUAAUACUAUUACUACUUUCAUUAUUAUGUGAUAAAUGUAGUUCUUCCUUCCUUAUCCCAUCUUUUAAAAUAUCAUCAGUUUCAUAUAUUAUAUUUUUCCCUUUUUUUAAAAAUGUUUCAUUAGACAAAAAUAAUUUUAAUUCGUUUGUGAUCAUACAAGAAUUUUUAUUUUUAGAUACUUGUCCGUCUAAACUUUUAUUUCGUUUGAAUCCUCUUUUUUUUUUUUUUUUUUUUUUUUUUUUUUUUUUUUUUUUUUUUUUUUUCUUCUUCUUCUUCUUCUUCUUCUUUCUCUUCAUUUCUUAUAAUUUUAUAUCCCUUGCUACUAUAUCUAAUACUAUGACCAUUAUUUUUUUUUUUAUUUUUACUACUGUCAUCAUUAACCUUACUUAAUACUUUUGCAUUUUUUGUGUUACUUUUUAUUUUACUAUUAUUAUUCAAAGUUGUUUUACUAACCGUUAGUAAUGUUACAUUUUGCACUUUUUUUUUUUUUCCUUAUUUUUUUCAUAUCUCUAAGUAUGUAUUCUGUAUUUUCUUUAAAAGUGUUGUCAUUCACGUUUUUAUUAAUAACGGCAUGACUAAGUUCUUUUUUUUCGUUGCAAGUUGGAAUAUCUUCUAAACAAUCUGGUUGUAAAUUACCUCCCUGUAAAUGGCCACCCUGUAAAUUACCUCCCUGUNNNNNNNNNNNNNNNNNNNNNNNNNNNNNNNNNNNNNNNNNNNNNNNNNNNNNNNNNNNNNNNNNNNNNNNNNNNNNNNNNNNNNNNNNNNNNNNNNNNNCCUGUAAAUGGCCACCCUGUAAAUUACCUCCCUGUAAAUGGCCACCCGGUAAAUUACCUCCCUGUAAAUGGCCACCCUGUAAAUUACCUCCCUGUAAAUGGCCAUCCUGUAAAUGGCCACCCUGUAAAUGGACACCCUGUAAAAGACCCGGUUGUAUGUUUUUACUUUUUUUUUUUUCUUAAAUAAUACAUCACUAGAUUUAUUUUUAUUUGUAUUUGUAUUGUUACUAUCAUGAUGGUUAAUGUUGCUACAACUAUUAGUUACAUUAGUCCUACUUACAUAUGAUGAAGUUUUUUUUAAUCGUUUUCCCCAAUUUUCUUUUUUUAUUACCACAUUAUUCAUAUUCAGUUUUUCUGACGAUUUUUUUUUAAAAAUUUGUAUCUUACUACAUCCAACAAUGCAUUACUACUUUUGUUACUAUUACUAUUUAAUUCUUUAACUACAUUUUUUUUUUUUCUCUUUAUAAAUAUCGUCUAUAGUAAAACUUUUUUUAAGAACUGUAUUUUUUUGGAGAUCCCUACUAACAAAAUUAUUACUAUUAUUAAGGAAAUUCUUAUGAUCAAUAACAACUAAUUUAACAUUUUCAUUUUUCACCUUUACAUCGUCUUUAUUUCGAUAUUUAUUACUCACAUUUAUGAUAGUAUUAUUAUCUAUAUUUGCAUUUUCGUUAAUUACAUUUAAACCUUUAAUAUACUCCCUCUCCGUAUAAUUUAACGAAUUUAACAAAUUUAACGAAUUUAACAAAUUUAACGAAUUUAAUAAAUUUAAUUUUCCAUUAUCUAUCUUUUGUUUA
ensembl:lncRNA